AGCUCAGACGUCUCUGGGCCCCCAUACUCAUCCAAUAUGCGUCGAUAGCUCAGAUGUCUCUGUGCCCAUGCAUUCUAUACGUCGCUAGCUCAGAUUUCUUUGUGCCCCCGUACUCAUAUGCGUCGCCAGCCCAGAUCUCUCUGGGCCCCCGCACCCACCACAUAGUCCCUACUGUAUAACUAUAUAUAUAUAUAUAUAUAUAUAUCAUCAUUUAACAUCAAACAAUCCAAACAAGAGUUGAAUCCUCUAGACCCAUAAUUCCGGUUAACAUUGAAUAAACUAACUACCAAACAAAACUCAGGCAGACUCGAUUCAAAC
rnacentral:lncRNA from 1 species